rnacentral:lncRNA from 1 species
CCCACAGUGACCAGACUCCGGCAGGGUCAUGCUGCUGAGCUCCAGGCCCAUAGGUUUUCUUAUGGAAAAAGUCCAACAGAAUGACCCAAAGUCAUCUUAAGUUCAGUAAGUCAAAACCUCAACUCAUUAUCUUUUCCCUCCACACCUGUUUUUCCUUUGGGUCCCCUACUUAGCAAACAACCCCAAUAUCUGCCCAGGUCCUGAAUCCAGCCGGAAAUCUGGGAGUCUAGUCUAGACACCUUCCUCACUUUUAUCCCAUACAACUAAAGGUCACCUCCUAUACAGCUCUCUACACUCUUGCCUUUUUACCAUCCUCUUGCCUCACAUAUACACACAAUCUUUACCACAUCUAUGAUAAUUACUAGAAAUAAAAUUGCUGGUUCAAAGCAUACAAACAUUUUUAGGCUCUUGGUGUAUGUUGAAAAUUGCUUCCCUGAAAGAUUUAUUCAACAUUCAAAACUAUUCAUGAAGUACAUACUACGUGCCAGGCACUAUUAUGUUGACACAACUGGCAGAAUGACUUUAAGGGAGUGAUUUAAUUUGUCUGAUCUGUAAAAUGUGGGUUGUGCCAUUUACCUCACGUGCCUACUGUGGAGAUGAAGAUGUACACGCAGUGUCUCCAGGUACUCAAUGGAAGUUUGUCCCUCCACCCCCCUUAAGACUACAUCUUCUUUCUAUGUAAUUUUGAAAAAAAUGGCACAUCUCACCCAGUUCCAUUGCAUGUCAUUCUCUCUUCUCUCCUAUCUCGGGGCUAAGUGUUUUGAAGCUUGCAGAAGAUACUCCUUACAUACCUUUGUAUAUCCUGCUAUAUGUAGCACAGCAUGUUGCUCAGACAGGGAGUUUCACACGUAUUUAUUAAAUCACGACAUGUUUUGUAAAUAGGAUGCCUAACUCAAAAGUUGGGACUCAUCAUAUUGUGCUGAGUUAAAUCUGGAAAUAAAGCAGCCUCCUGAGGCCAACAGCAUAGUAAUUCUUUCUAAAUAGAUAGGAAGCAUAUUAAUACCCAAAUUUAUUCAAGCAGUCUGAGAAGCUGUCAACCAUGGUAAAUAAAGUCAACUACUUUUGGAAUUAGUCUCUGGAGAUAGAGCAGAGACCAAUCUUGCUCCACUGAUCUUGCCUUCAUAUCAGUUCCACUUAAUGUGUGCUUUUAAAAAAAUAUAUACGCUGACAUCUUUUAUGUUAAGUGAUUUAGAAGACUUCAUUGAGAGAGCAACUGGAGAUAAAGCUAUAGCAUUGUGUUCAGUCACUGAGAACACAAUGAAAAUAAAUUUAAAUGUAGAGAAAAAUGAGAAAAAAGAGUAAAGUAUAUUGAGAAGUGAUAAACGAAGAGAAAGGAGGAAACUUUUUAAGAAGCACAUGCAAUACACCAAUAGUUCAAUUAUCUACAUAAUUUCAUUUGAUCACCCUACACAUCAGGGUGUAUCUUGGUAAUUAAAAUCCUUAAUUCUAUUGCUAGUAAAAGGCAAUUUCAACAGAAUUUUCAGCAGCUACUUCUAUAAAAUACAUAUAGAGAUAUUUGAAAUAUAAAAUAUUCAUCCUGUUUGGAAAAUAAGGCAGCAAGAAAAUAAUCUAAAACAUAAAUAAUAAAUAUAUGCCCAUCUAUACUCAGUGCUGAGUCAAUGUGCUUAUCUAAGAACACUCUUUUAAAACAGAGAUUUCUUAACAGUUUUGCUUGGACUACUUCUAUUCCAUAAUCAAUUUAACCACUUAAGAAUAACUACCCAAUAAACCCCACUUAUCUAAACUAACUUAGAGGAAAACCAAUUUGAAUUUUGGGAAAAUAUAAAUGUGUAAAAUAGAUAUGGGUUCUAACAAACACAAAAAUUGGUAGGGAGACCUAUUAUAUUUAAUCUGUUUAUAGGCCAGGAACAUUAGUGACUCUCACAUAAUAUGCCAAAAGUAUUCAAUAAUAAUUUAUUCUCUGCGUAGAUGAAGUAGGCUCUAUUCUAUUCUCAUCUACUGAGUUAUUUUUCUUAGCAAAGCUAUUUUCAUGGUUAGUACCUAAGGUACAAUUAAGUCUUAUUAAGUAUAAGUGACACACAAAUUAAUUUCACUGGAUACAAAAAGGUAGGAUUCACCUAAGACAUGUUUUUUUCUUUUUUCUACUUUCGCUCUGUGACAAUUUCAUUGCUCAGUGUUUCUGCCACUAGAACAUAUAUUAGCAAAAGAAAAGUCACAUAGAGAUCUGGCUCCCUGACAGCCUGGUCUCCUUUCAGUCCCAAAGCUACUCAGUGUCAGUUAGACACUGUUCUGCUUCCUGUGAUGAGUGGCUCUACUUCUGCCCCCAUCCAUGGUCAUUCAGUUGCAUGAUAAUCAUGAUGCUCCAAAGGAGGCUCUGUUUAGUACUGUGACUGUCACUAAAUAUUUUAUAGAUGAAUAAUAAUUUAAGUAAUCAUGACGAUAUUAGCUUUUACUUCUAUGAACAGAGUGAUUAAAUGCAAAGCCUACCCGGUGAUAGAAGUUGGCUCUUAAUCCACAAAGUCCAUUAAUUAUCUGUGAAUUUAGGCAAUACCAAGCUCUUUCUAUAUUACAUUGAUUAAUCAAUACUAAAUCACAUCACUGCAUUUCAAUGUUGGAUAACCUCUAAUAUCCUCUUUUAAGAUGGAGAUUCUUCCAAAAAGUUAAAUUUCAUCCAUACUUUUGUGAUAAUGACUAACCAGAAAAAUUCUUUUAAAAAUUCUGGUUAAAUCAAGCCUUUCCAAACGGAAGAGUUGUUAACCCAAGCUGGGCAGGAUGCAGUGUGAACAUCAGUCAAUCACAAUCACAGAACAGCUACCAUACUAGGUGGCAGGUACUAUGGUAAGAUGUUACAUUCCUCAAAGGGAGAUAUUCUUACCCUUAUGUUACAGUUAAGGAAACACAUGCACAGGGAGGUGAAGUAGCUUACGCAGGAUUAGCCGCGAAUUGACUCCAAAGCUCUUAACAUCUAUGUCGGCAUUUGCCAAAGUGGUUCUGUGAGUUACAGUGCUCCAAGGAAAGCUCAAUUCUAUGGCAAAAUGACUUCGUGAAAUGAGAUCUAGCCACACUCCUUUAUUGCAGAACUUUGGAAAAUCUUUAAUGCGUUAAUGUAAACUGAAUGAAAAGGAGGUACGGGUGAGAGCAGGAGAGGUAUGGUAUGCAGAGCUUCCCAAACAUAUUUACUUAUAGGGCUUUUUUGCCGAGUAUCUUAGUAGGGUGAAAUUCCGCAGAAUUUGUGCUCAGAAAUGCUACAAUAGACUACACUGACUCCUAAGUUAAAGGAGGAAAAAUAAAUUCAGGCUGUCCUCAUCAAUUUAGUAACAGACAGGUCAUGUAAUUACAUUCAAAAGGCUUGCUUUAUAGAGGCUACGGAACAGAUAGCGUGCUCAAUGGUGGUUUCAGAAUUAUCUUUUGUCUCAAGUUGGUGGCUAAUUUCAAGGACCAAGAAACUUACUUGCUUGUUGCCUGGAGCUGGACGACAAAGAAAAAUGGACUUAAUGCUCAGGAAUACUUUGUAAGUCCAUAAAUGCAAAAGCCUACUUGAAGGACACCUUGGAAUUAUUGAUUGCUGUUGUUACCAAGAGAAGAAUGGACCAUUCUAUUAGGUCUUCUUUUGGCAUUGUGAAGGUAAUGCAGUGGAACACCAGCCUACUCCCAAGUCACAAGCAUGUCUGCCCCAGAGGCUAACUAAAGUCUCAGGAAAAAGCCCAAUGCUCCCUCCCUGUCAUAUAGACAACUAUGAGUUCAUACUCUCCUCUCAAUUCACUGUUUCAAUCUUCUCAUUGACAAGGAUCAAACAUUUAGGAUUUUAUUCAGGUCUCUUUAAACACUUAAAUUCAGGAUAUGCAUAAACACUCAUGGAUAUCUUUAGGAUUUACUUAACCUUGGUUCUUAUGAAUAGUUACAGGGUAUCAGGAGAAUGAAUUCAAUAAUACUUCUUUUGGGUCUGUUUUGUUCAGAGAUUAUCAGUUUCUCAGAAUACAGGGAACACUUGUUUUGAGGUUAAAAACCUAACGUGGCUCUAAAUUUGGUAAAACAGAUUUUGUUCUGUCUUGGGUUAUGUUUGCUGACAAACCAGCUAUGAUCUACAGGUCUCUACUUUUAUUACAGUUGGCAGCUAGGGACUUUUACUCUAACACUCUAAUAACUGUUAAUUUCAAGUCCUUACAUAUACAAAUUGAAAACUCUCUACACAAUGCUACUGGUUAAAAAGCAAAUUUUCUUCAACAUACUUGCUACUUACCAGCUGUGUGACCUGAACAAAUUACUUACCCUGUUGUGCUUCGGUUUCCUCACCUGUCCUAGGGAUUGGUCUAGUAUCUAUCUCAUGAGAUUGCUGUGAGGAAUAAAUGAGGUGAUGCGCAAGUGGGGCAUUUACAACAGUGUUUGGCCCAUAGACACUGAACCUUAGCCAUUACUAAUGAGAUUGUUACCUGGCACUGGAGAGUCUUUCUGUUAAGCUCUCUACUUAGCUCAUCUUUCUUUCCCUACUCUCAUCACCAUGAACAUUCGUGAAGGAGGAGUCUGCCCCUACUGUUACUUUCGUAUGCCACAAUUCUUUUGAACUUCCAGUGGACCACCUCACCCCAUGCUAACAACACUGUUCUCUCAAACUCACCAAUGACCUAUCGAGUCCAUUGCCUAUUUUAUGUUUCCUCCAGUUGGCCAUGGGACCACAAAUUGACUGACUACUUCUGAAGGCCGCUCUUUCUGUUGGCUUCUAAAACACACUAUUUCUUGAUCCACCCCCCGACCCCUGUCACUUUGAUUCUUCCUUCAUUCCCUUCCUGAUUAGAGAUACAAGGUCAGAAAGAUCUAGGCUUGAGACUGACUUUGCCAAAUAUCAACUAUGUGGCCUCAGAUAAGUUACUUAAUCUCUAUGAGCCUAUGCUUUUUCAUUGGUUUAAUGUCAAUAAAAAACAGUACCUAUUUUGGCCAGGUGUGGUGGCUCAUGCCUGUAAUCUCAGCACUUUGGGAGGCCAAGGUGGGUGGAUCACUUUAGCCCAGGAGUUUUGAGAUCGGCCUGGGCAGCAUGGAGAAACCCCAUCUCUAUAAGAAAUACAAAAACUAGCUGGGCUUGGCAGUGCAUGCCUAUAGUCCCAGUUACUGUGGAGGCUGAGGUGGGAAGAUGGCUUGAGCCUGGGACACUGAGGUUUCUGUGAGCUGAGAUGGAGCCACCGCACUCCAGUCUGGACAAUAGAGCCAGACCUUGUCAUAAACAAAGAAAUAAACAAACAAACAAAAAAAAGUACUUAUUUUUCAUAUGAACUAGUGUGAGAACUAAAUGAAAUACAUAUUUAGCAUAGGGCUAAUAAUGCAGUAUGUGCUCAAUGUACUCUGUAUCAUUAGUAAUAACUGAUUCAUUCAGCUCACUUAUUACAGAACAUGUGCCAGACACUGUCUAUAUUUGUCUGCUUCACAAAUUAAAAACCUUCAUAUUAACCCAAUCUUUUCCUUCCUUCCCUUCUUCUGAUCUGCUCCUCCUACAUUCAUUGUGUCAAUUAAUGGCUCUUCUGUUCACCUACUCUUCUACUCUCAAUUGACCUGACUCUUAACCUCUCCAACAUAUCCCACACCAAAAUGCUCAUGGAAUCCAGGACAUUCUCUCUCAGCAAGGUUUCUUUACUUAGCCCUCCACAUUAUUUCUAGCCCCUAUGGUACUUUAAGUUCUAUUUCAGUCUUACUGGACAAAGAUAGUAGCCUGGAUGUUGUUCCUGCCACUAGUCUCUAAGUCCUCUAGUACCUGAUCAUGCCACUUUCUCAUUUCUAUGCUUUGCUGCUCACCCAUAAUACAACACAACCAAGAAGGCCUUUCUUAAUCUAGUUCCAGGCUAUUCGCUUGCCACCUCUGCAGGACCCCCAACCUUUAUCUACUGCUUCACUGUUUCUUGACAGAUUAUAGAAAAUCCUUAAAGUUUUAUCAGUUUCUUACUAUGUAGAACAUACAACAAAUGAAUUUGAAAAAAAAUCCAUGUGAAUAAAAAGCUUAACAAAGAACAUUGCAUCCAGCUCUGUCCCUAAGGGUGUUCCGACAUCAGCAGUAGCACUUUUUUUUUUUUUUCCAGCAUCAGUAUUGAAAUGCAAGCCUCACACUCAGAUUUAGGUGUCUAGCAAUAUUUUCUGCUAGAAGAAAGCAAAGUUCUUUGGGAAGCAGCAGAUUCCAAGCCUUUGGGCAAGGAAAACUCAAAUAGGCCUAAAAUACCUUAUUAUUGCCAGAUAGCAAGGAUACCUCUAAAGAUGACAGGGACAGUGCUAAAAUGAAAAAGAAAGCAGUUUAAAGGAGAUCACUGGGCAAGAUCACUGAUGUGAUAUUUAGAACAUCAAUAGUAACAAAAGUUAUCACAAUAAAGAUAAUUACAGUAAUUGUAUAUGACUUCGUGGAAGCCAUAAUUUCUUAAUGAUAAAACAAGAGAGUUAACAUAAAAUGUACAAAAAUGAAGUACAAAACAAAAUUGAUUAUAAUUGGAUGCUUUAUUGAUUUUAAUUAGUAAAAAAUAUUAAAAUAUCUGGGUAUUUUGUUUAAGUAUUUAUCUACAUACCAAUGUAUGUAUUUGUCUCUAUCUGUGUGAGUAGCAAUGGGCAAAUACAGAAAACUACGAGUAAGCCAAAGAAUUUCAGAAAGAGCAGAAAGUUACAGAAAGGACUAAUGAGCAUUAAUGGUCAAACAUAUCCACUAGGUAGAAAGAAUGACGAUGCAUUCCAAAGUAGUGAAUGUGUUCUCCUCUUUAGAAAUUUGGCUAUCUGUUCAGAUCAGAUUGCAUCUCCCAGGGGAAGAAACUUCUAGACAACGUGACAAAUUAUAAUUAGAUAUUAAUAAGGUGCCUGUAUGUUCACAAUAAUGCUAAUAUACAAGAGCGAUGCACAAGAAUGACAUAGAGAAUUAUGUAAUGCUGGCCAAGCAAUGUAAAGGAUGCACCAUUUUGGGAGAAAACCCGUCAAGUUGAAAUCACUGGGCGUAUGUGAAGAAUAUAGGCUUAAACGGUGCUACUGAGGUGAAACAUGAGGUUCCCAUGAAGACCCAGUGAGAUACUCAGGGACUCAAGUUUGAAUCACCUUGGGAGAAUAAACCAGGCCCUGUGCCCCCUGUGCCCCCACUAAAAAUCAACUGAUUGCCAACUCAAUCCUCUAGACUCAGGAAAUAUGAAAAUAAGCACUUUGAUUAAAGUUGAAAGAUCUAUGAAGAAGAAAAUAAAUAAUGAAGAGAGAAAUUAAACCUAUGGUGUUGCUUGUUCAUUACAGGUUUAAAUAUAAUAUUCCUUUAAGUAUUGUAAUUAUUAUUUUUGCAUAUGUCUUGUCUGUUUAAAGUAUCUAAAGUAGUCAAAAUAAUCAGUCCUAUUAAACUGUGAUUGCAGUUUAAAUUGUUUAAGAGAACUUCAUGAACUGUUUCAUAAACAAUGUUUAUAAAAGUUUAAGAAAAUUUGACUUUUCAAAUUAUGUUUAGUAGAAAUAUUUAAUAAACUGAGCAUGAAACAAAG